rnacentral:rRNA from 1 species
GAUGAACGCUGGCGGCGUGCCUAAUACAUGCAAGUCGAGCGAACAGAUGAGGAGCUUGCUCCUCUGACGUUAGCGGCGGACGGGUGAGUAACACGUGGAUAACCUACCUAUAAGACUGGGAUAACUUCGGGAAACCGGAGCUAAUACCGGAUAAUAUAUUGAACCGCAUGGUUCAAUAGUGAAAGACGGUUUUGCUGUCACUUAUAGAUGGAUCCGCGCUGCAUUAGCUAGUUGGUAAGGUAACGGCUUACCAAGGCAACGAUGCGUAGCCGACCUGAGAGGGUGAUCGGCCACACUGGAACUGAGACACGGUCCAGACUCCUACGGGAGGCAGCAGUAGGGAAUCUUCCGCAAUGGGCGAAAGCCUGACGGAGCAACGCCGCGUGAGUGAUGAAGGUCUUCGGAUCGUAAAACUCUGUUACUAGGGAAGAACAAAUGUGUAAGUAACUAUGCACGUCUUGACGGUACCUAAUCAGAAAGCCACGGCUAACUACGUG